GUCGAACGAACUCUGGUAUUGAUUGGUGCUUGCAUCAUGAUUUACAUUUGAGUGAGUGGCGAACUGGUGAGUAACACGUGGGAAACCUGCCCAGAAGCGGGGGAUAACACCUGGAAACAGAUGCUAAUACCGCAUAACAACUUGGACCGCAUGGUCCGAGCUUGAAAGAUGGCUUCGGCUAUCACUUUUGGAUGGUCCCGCGGCGUAUUAGCUAGAUGGUGGGGUAACGGCUCACCAUGGCAAUGAUACGUAGCCGACCUGAGAGGGUAAUCGGCCACAUUGGGACUGAGACACGGCCCAAACUCCUACGGGAGGCAGCAGUAGGGAAUCUUCCACAAUGGACGAAAGUCUGAUGGAGCAACGCCGCGUGAGUGAAGAAGGGUUUCGGCUCGUAAAACUCUGUUGUUAAAGAAGAACAUAUCUGAGAGUAACUGUUCAGGUAUUGACGGUAUUUAACCAGAAAGCCACGGCUAACUACGUGCCAGCAGCCGCGGUAAUACGUAGGUGGCAAGCGUUGUCCGGAUUUAUUGGGCGUAAAGCGAGCGCAGGCGGUUUUUUAAGUCUGAUGUGAAAGCCUUCGGCUCAACCGAAGAAGUGCAUCGGAAACUGGGAAACUUGAGUGCAGAAGAGGACAGUGGAACUCCAUGUGUAGCGGUGAAAUGCGUAGAUAUAUGGAAGAACACCAGUGGCGAAGGCGGCUGUCUGGUCUGUAACUGACGCUGAGGCUCGAAAGUAUGGGUAGCAAACAGGAUUAGAUACCCUGGUAGUCCAUACCGUAAACGAUGAAUGCUAAGUGUUGGAGGGUUUCCGCCCUUCAGUGCUGCAGCUAACGCAUUAAGCAUUCCGCCUGGGGAGUACGGCCGCAAGGCUGAAACUCAAAGGAAUUGACGGGGGCCCGCACAAGCGGUGGAGCAUGUGGUUUAAUUCGAAGCUACGCGAAGAACCUUACCAGGUCUUGACAUACUAUGCAAAUCUAAGAGAUUAGACGUUCCCUUCGGGGACAUGGAUACAGGUGGUGCAUGGUUGUCGUCAGCUC
rnacentral:rRNA from 2 species